rnacentral:misc_RNA from 1 species
GAAAUGCGAUAAGUAAUGUGAAUUGCAGAAUUCAGUGAAUCAUCGAAUCUUUGAACGCACCUUGCGCCCCUUGGCAUUCCGAGGGGCACGCCUGUUUGAGUGUCGUGAACUCCUCCACCCUCUACCUUUUUCGAAAGGCAUUGGGCUGGGAUUUGGGAGCUUGCGGGUCCCUGGUCGAUCCGCUCUCCUUGAAUGCAUUAGCGAAGCCCUAGCGGCCUUGGUGUGAUAGUCAUCUACGCCUCGGCUUAGCGAACAUGUGGGAGUCGCUUCCAAUCGUCUCGCAAGGGACAACACACUACCAACUUGACCUCAAAUCAGGCGGGACUACCCGCUGAACUUAA